UACGUAGGGGGCAAGCGUUGUCCGGAUUUAUUGGGCGUAAAGAGCGUGUAGGCGGCCAUGUAGGUCCGUUGUGAAAACUCGAGGCUCAACCUCGAGACGCCGAUGGAAACCAUAUGGCUAGAUUCCGGAAGAGGAGAGUGGAAUUCCUGGUGUAGCGGUGAAAUGCGCAGAUAUCUGGAGGAACACCGGUGGCGAAGGCGGCAUCCUGGACCAAUACUGACACUGAGGAGCGAAAGCCAGGGGAGCAAACGGG
rnacentral:rRNA from 1 species